rnacentral:lncRNA from 1 species
GGAAAUCCACAAUCUAAUUGAUAUUUAACUACAACAGAAGCAUAUAGAUGAACAUUCACCACUGCCCAGACCAUUAAGAUUUUAGCUUAAAUUAAAAGAAAAAAAAAUGCUACUGUAAACUAGGAAAUAUAUUCAGAUUAGCAUCCACAAGGCUUCUGAGUUUAUCUUUAAACUAAGAACUUCAAAUCUCUAACGUCAGAAAAGUUUUUUUUUUUUUUCUGACAAAUACAUCAACCUGUGCCAAAGUAAAAUGAAGCAAAACAAAACCAAAGAAUUUUCAUUGUUAAUAUUACUUACUAAGUUUUUUGUUUUAACUUUAUUUGUAUAGAAUGCCAGAUACAAUAUCAUGGUACAGCUAAAGCCAAUUAAGAGCUAUCGAUUAAAUUAUACUGAUUUUUUUAACUUCUUAAAAAAUUAUAUUUUGCUUAUUUCCAUUUUCCCUAGGGAAAAAUAAUUUAGAAAGAAUGGUUUCAUACCUAUCAUCAGCUUGAGAAGGUCAAAUGUAUAAAAUUUCAAAUUCUGUUUGGAAUUUUCAUGGAUACACAGGAGGUUUAAGUAUUUUUCAAACGUUGAAAAGCAAUAACUAACUAAUAAGAAAGUUUUGUUGGGACUGUACCCCUAAGAGAAAAUAAAAGUCACAUUCCUGGUUAGAUUUUCCCAUGUAAUUCAUCUUUAAUAUUUAGAUUAGCUACUGUUUCUUUAACCAUAUUCCUCAUUUGUAAGAAAAAGGAAUGAUUAAAACAUUUUUUGCAUUUUAAAAUUUUUUAAAAAGACAAUGUUAAGUUUCCAAACUUUCACAAGUACAGGUAACAGUUGCAAGAUUAAAAAAUAAUUUUAAUC